ensembl:lncRNA LINC01588 long intergenic non-protein coding RNA 1588
GUCCUUAGUACUCUGGUUUCCACAGAAUAAUCCUCAUGCAGUGAGUAGUGGAAGUCAGGAGGAAUAAACUGCCUAGAUGUCAUGAAGGGAAAACAAUGCACAAUAGACUUGUGCAGAAUCUAUUCCUGUCCGUUUCCCUGUGAAUCCAGAUUGCUGAACACUGGCCGAUGUCUGAGCUGUGGUUUCCCCCUGGAUUUGAAAUUUAGUUACUAGAAGACAAUGCUUUUGAAUGGCUUCUUGGCCAUGACUUUCACAGGGCCUGCUGGCUGUUGCCUGAUGAUUGUCUGAUAGGCCUAGCCCCUUGGCAAAGCAAUGUUUCAUUUGCAAAACUACGCUUGUCCGGUGCCUCCUGGGAACUGAAAGCCUGGCAUCAGCAGAGGAACGCAAAUUGGGCAAAUCACGGAUCUCCCAGGCGUGCGUUGCUUGGGGGCCAUGGUACACAGCACUGCUAAAAGUCUAGGACAAUCUAUGUGUUUUAGGAGCAAACCAGUGCCUUGCACUUCUAAGCUGUAUCCUUUGCUCCCUCCCUGAGAGGCAGCCGUGUGCUCUGGGCUUCCUAGCCUUGUAUGACCUCUGAAAAUAUGACCUGAAGCAGAUGGAUGCACUCACAUAAGAAACAUCACCUGUGGCCUUCAUCGAAAAUGGGCCUGCUGCUUGAAGAAGUUGGGCUCUUGGAGUUCUCUAGCACAGGGGCCAUGAAAAUCAAUGACUUCCUUGUUUGCUGACGGAGCAGAGGUAGAAUCUCUUGGUGUUUCCACGGAGAAAACACUGACCAUGAAGAGCCAAGAAAGAUGACAUGAUGAAGCCAUCAGGGGAAGCACCAAACAUCCUCAACUCUGCUCACCCAUGGUUUUCUCCCGCCCUCCCAGAGCUCCUCCUGCGUGAGUAAUGCAGUGUGUGCUGGUGCAGUGUCUCACUGAAAAAAGAAAGAAACCCUGAUUUGCAGCAUUGGCCAAUUUCUGUAGUGUAAAUACUCCCACCAUAGCAGAUUUCAGGUUACCAAGGGUUUCACAACUGGUUCACAAGUCUUGACUGUAAUGACCAGCUCAUGCAACUCCAGCAUCUCAUCAUCUCCGCCCUGUCCCAGAAAAUCCCCACAUCACACCCAGGCUGAAUAUCACUUUCAGCUUCUCAGUCAGAAGGAGAAGUGGUUAACUAUGCCAGGAUGGUAAUGACUAAAUAUCAGAAUGGUGAGUGUGGAGGGUCAGGAUGUCUGCCAAAUUGGAGAUGACUCUUCACUUCUCAAUCUUGGUGUCUCAUCUGGGGAAGCUGGAGGGAGACAUGCACAGCUUCUCAUGAACAGUCCUGGAAGCCCUUACCCCAAGGCCUCAUGGGGCUCUCUCCAGGGCUUGCUCUUUGUCACUCCUUUAAAAGCCUGUCAUUCAUUGCCAGAGAACAGAAGACUCCAUCCUAAGGCCAAGUUGAAAACGGCAGGCUUGGGAGCUGUCUAGACUCUGGGUCCUGGCUUUUGUCUUGGCUGGUGUCAAAAUGGACUCUUUAAAAACUGUCCUCAGGAAGAUUCCCCAUCCAACUCUGAACAGCCUGGACUGAUCUUUUUCUGAUUUUUAGGGGUCUUGUGAACAAGAGUCAGGUGGGCGGGCAGCUCUUGUAAAGCUGAACAUAACCAAAUUUGUCCAUAGCCUGUGACAGCAAAGAUCACAAAAUUCUUCCCUCCCCUUUAGGGCCUGGGAGUGACGCCGAACCAAGGGGAGGAUAGUGACCUAUUUUAUCUCCCAAACAUUGGGCAGCCAGUUGCAUUUGCAGAUUUAAAAUCCACCCACACUACUGCAGUUUCUGUUCUCCUGCCCCCCCGAGCAUACUUCUGGCUGGAGCUGGUUUUGUAAAGUGGAGUUGGCUGUGGGUGUGGGAGUCCUCCUCGGAGAGCCUGGUCUGACAGCCCCAGUCAACAGCCCUCCCAUGGGCAUUUGGGCUGCUCCAGUCCCGGCAGGUGCACAGCUCAGGGGAAUCUGGUUUUGUCUUGGUCUCAGCCAGGGAAGUCUAGUUAAAGAAAGAAAAGGUUGGCCGGGUGCAGAGGCUCACACCUGUAAUCCCAGCACUUUGGGAGGCUGAGAUGGGCAGAUCACGAGGUCAGGAGUUUGAGACCAGCAUGGCCAACAUGGUGAAACCCCGUCUCUACUAAAAAUACAAAAAUUAGCUGGGCGUGGUGGCAGAUGCCUGUAAUCCCAGCUACUUGGGAGGCUGAGGCAGGAGAAUUGCUUGAAACCAGAAGGUGGAGGUUGCAGUGAGCCGAGAUCGCGCCACUGCACUCCAGCCUGGGCAACAAGAACAAAACUCUGUCUC